CUAGGAUUAGAUACCCUAUUAUUUAAAAUUUAANNNNNNNAAACUAAAGUAUUAAUAGUUAUGUUCUUUAAAUUUAAAAAAUUUGGCGGUAUUUUAGUCUGUUCAGAGGAACCUGUUUUAUAAUCGAUAUUCCACGUUGGACCUUACUUUAAUUUAUAAAUUAGUUUAUAUACCGUCGUUAUAAAAAAUUUUAUAAGAAUAAUAAUUUUUAANNNNNNNNNNNNNNAAUUAAAUAUCAGAUCAAGGUGUAGCUUAUAUUAAAGAAAAUAAUGGGUUACAAUAAAUUUAUUUAUAUGGAAAUAAAUAUGAAAAAUUUAUAGAAAGUGGAUUUGAAAGUAAAAUUAUAUAGAUUAAUAAUUUGAUUUUAGCUCUAAAAUAUGUACAUAUCGCCCGUCACUCUUAUUAUUAAAAUAAGAUAAG
rnacentral:rRNA from 1 species